CCGGUGCUCUGAUUGGUUACU
rnacentral:miRNA from 1 species